CUUCAGGGAGCGGUUUGCCUGGCAUCAAAAGAGAUGCUUAUCCAUGGUGAUGUAGAAGCUGUCGAUCCAGUUCUUCUGACGCCCCCAAACGGCGAGGAGGAACCUUGGGAAGGUGGAGAGGACAUCAACAUUUCUACCUGGUUCAUUAACACAGACAUCAGAUACAGCACGCUGCGACACCUUUUUGGACCCCUGUGGCCUCUGUAUGUUAAACUGUGGUGAAGGCAAAAAAAAGGGCAAGCAACUAGCUCUAACCUCAAACAAGAUUUUAUACAGUAAAAACCAAACAUUUUAUUUAUCAUUGCUUUGAGCUUGCAUGUGAAUUGUUGUCAAACAGUUUGAGUUGGUGACUAACGGUUAGCUAGCUGCCACAGACGGCUAACUAAAUGUUAGCUGUUCAGUCCUGACAACAAACGAGGCUUUGUAAGUAAAACUUAUUCUCUGUAGGUGUUUUAUUGUACAUACUAAAGUUCACAGCAUCCAUCGUUUCACUGGGGUUGACUUAACUGCACUUACCGUGUAGAGCUGCACGAGUGGAGGGAAACGGUGAUAGCUCGUCCUUCACCGAAAAAGUUAAA